AUGCAAACCAAUCAUCAAGUUUAUGAAAAAAGUGCUAGAAAUAGAACAGGUGAACCAAGUCAUAGAACACAACUUUUCAACCUUAAAAACAACAAUUGGAUUACAGUUACAAUCACUGGAAGCAAAUUCAUAGCUUUUUUUGUAGAUUACCAAACACAAAAUAAUUCAUUGAUUAAAAUUUCACAUAGAACAAAUCAGCAUAUAUACCAAUAA